rnacentral:rRNA from 1 species
UACGAACUGUGCAAACGUUAUUCGGAAUCACUGGGCUUAAAGGGUGCGUAGGCGGCUUGUUAAGUAGGGUGUGAAAUCCCCCGGCUCAACCGGGGAAUUGCGCCCUAAACUGGCGAGCUGGAGUGAGAUAGGGGUGUGUGGAACUUCCAGUGGAGCGGUGAAAUGUGUUGAUAUUGGAAGGAACGCCGGUGGCGAAAGCGGCGUGCUGGACCUCUUCUGACGCUGAGGCGCGAAAGCCAGGGGAGCGAACGGG